UGCAACAGUAAACAGCAAAACAAGCUGUUUGUACAGCUAAUAUAGCUGGAAUGACACCGAAAGCCAGACACAUUAAAUUUACAAAUGGCCGCGCCCCCUCUUACAGAAAAAAAAAAUAAGGGGCAUAUGUUUAUUCAUGUUUAUUUAUGUAACGUAAGCGUGUGACUUUUAAUUCGUGACGUGCUUUCAUGGGCGUGCGCGCGGACCGGAUGGAGUUGCCAUGGAAACGGAGCCCAACACUGCAAAUGUCACGAGGAAACACCCCGUUUCUCGCUGAUUUCACUGUUUUCAGAAUGGUUUAAUGUCUUCGAAAAAGUCCGUUAGCAUUUCUACCGUUUUCAGACGACGUAUCGUCAGAAGGGAGUGUCCAAGAUUUCAAUAUUUCUGAAGGGAGCUGCUGACAGAUAUGUAGGAAGCGCUGAAAAGGUUAAUGCUUCUUCAUGGCCUGCUGCAUCCAGCAGAGUCGGAGUGAACCUACUGUAAGACAACAUCUCAAAGAUGCUAUUUACCACAAGACUAGUACAGGUUAUUAGAAACUGCACAGCACAGGACUUGCAGGACUUGUGAGGACUUCAGAUGAUACCAGUACUCAAAAGACCUUAGAUGAUGGCAACUAUAGAUGGACAUACAAACUACCGCCACUGCAAAAAAGAUUCUAAUUUGAAAGAAGUUUAUAAUGCAUGUUCGCUACUCCCAAUUCAGAAGACUGAAUCAGCCGGUGUAUCUGAAUGUUUCUCAUACUCACUCCUCUCUGCCGCGUCU